AUGAACGCUGGCGGCGUGCCUAAUACAUGCAAGUCAAGCGAACAGACGAGGAGCUUGCUCCUCUGACGUUAGCGGCGGACGGGUGAGUAACACGUGGAUAACCUACCUAUAAGACUGGGAUAACUUCGGGAAACCGGAGCUAAUACCGGAUAAUAUAUUGAACCGCAUGGUUCAAUAGUGAAAGACGGUUUUGCUGUCACUUAUAGAUGGAUCCGCGCCGCAUUAGCUAGUUGGUAAGGUAACGGCUUACCAAGGCGACGAUGCGUAGCCGACCUGAGAGGGUGAUCGGCCACACUGGAACUGAGACACGGUCCAGACUCCUACGGGAGGCAGCAGUAGGGAAUCUUCCGCAAUGGGCGAAAGCCUGACGGAGCAACGCCGCGUGAGUGAUGAAGGUCUUCGGAUCGUAAAACUCUGUUAUUAGGGAAGAACAAAUGUGUAAGUAACUAUGCACGUCUUGACGGUACCUAAUCAGAAAGCCACGGCUAACUACGUG
rnacentral:rRNA from 1 species